GCGGAAGUGGUGGAAUUGGUAGACGCGCUGGAUUCAGGGUCCAGUGAGCGCAAGCUCGUGGGAGUUCAAGUCUCCCCUUCCGCACCA
rnacentral:tRNA from 1 species